AAUAAACGAAUUCCUGAGUUUUUUUUAUAGAACUUUUGACUGUUCGUCUUAUAUGAAUUUUUUUUACGAUUAAUAUUUUUUUAUUAUUACAUGAUAAAACAUGAAUAGUACUUUGCAUGUGACUAAUUUUUUUAAUUUUUUAAUAAAAUUUUCAAAUAAGACGGAUGGUCAAACGCUCCAUACACAAAACUCAGA
rfam:Oryza brachyantha chromosome 12, whole genome shotgun sequence.